GAACUCCGGCCGGGGAGUACCCCGGGCCCGUCCAUAGGCGCCCGGCUCAGAUGACCGGACGGCAGCCGGGUACACCUGGCGCCGUCCCCGACCCCGCCCCUGGCCGGGCGGCACCCGGAAAGCUCCCCGCCGGAGCCAGAGCGGCGAAGCAGGGCCAUGGCGGCAGCGCCAGCAGUGUGCGCCCCGCAGGGUCCCCCGCCGGGUGCACCAUCCCCGCCGGUCAGCGCGCCCGCGCCCGCGUCCGGCCUGGGCCGUUGCCGGAUGGCGCUGUUGCUGGCCGUGGCGCUGGACGUGGCGGGCAUGGCGUCGCUGCUGACCGGCGUGUUUGCGCAGCUGCAGGUGCGGGGUCGUGACUUCGGCGACUUGCUCAUUUACUCGGGCGCGCUGCUGGUCUUCAUGAGCCUGCUGGGCUGGAUCCUAUGGUACACUGGCAACAUCGAGAUCUCGCGCCAGGAGCUCGAGCGCGACUACGGCCUGCAGCCCUCCGCGCUCGCCCGCCUGGCGCGCAAGCUGUCUCGCCGCUGGUCGGCGUCGGCUUCAGCCGCCGCGGGCCAGCGUACGACUCCUGACUCCCGGGGAGCGCGCCGCGCCACCCGCACGCCCCUGCCGCCCAACGCCGGCUCCCGCCGCGUACGCUUGCAGCUCGCUACUCUCGAGGCCGCGCCCGGGGCGGCGGGGGCCGGCACUGAGUGAGAGCCCGAGCAGGAGUGCCCUUGCUGUCUGUACUCCACAGAAAACUUCCCCUGUGUCCUUUAAGAUCCGGCUCAACUCUGCUGCCUUUCUCUGGGUCUUCACAUUACCAGCUCAUGGCCCCACCUGCCAGGACCCGACCAAGAUGGGCAGCUGCUCCCAACAUCCCGUGGCCGCCAGGAUGCCUCCCUGUGCUCCUCUGUCACCUGGAUAAAUGACUGCUUCCCA